UACACGGUGGAUGCCCUGGCAGUCAGAGGCGAUGAAGGGCGUGCUAAUCUGCGAUAAGCGCCGGUAAGGUGAUAUGAACCGUUAUAACCGGCGAUACCCGAAUGGGGAAACCCAGUGUGAUUCGUCACACUAUCAUUAACUGAAUCCAUAGGUUAAUGAGGCGAACCGGGGGAACUGAAACAUCUAAGUACCCCGAGGAAAAGAAAUCAACCGAGAUUCCCCCAGUAGCGGCGAGCGAACGGGGAGGAGCCCAGAGCCUGAAUCAGCAUGUGUGUUAGUGGAAGCGUCUGGAAAGGCGCGCGAUACAGGGUGACAGCCCCGUACACAAAAGCGCAUGUGCUGUGAGCUCGAUGAGUAGGGCGGGACACGUGGUAUCCUGUCUGAAUAUGGGGGGACCAUCCUCCAAGGCUAAAUACUCCUGACUGACCGAUAGUGAACCAGUACCGUGAGGGAAAGGCGAAAAGAACCCCGGCGAGGGGAGUGAAAAAGAACCUGAAACCGUGUACGUACAAGCAGUGGGAGCACAGGUUUACCUGUGUGACUGCGUACCUUUUGUAUAAUGGGUCAGCGACUUAU
rnacentral:rRNA from 1 species